AUUGAACGCUGGCGGCAGGCCUAACACAUGCAAGUCGAGCGGAGCGGCGGACGGGUGAGUAAUGCCUAGGAAUCUGCCUGGUCGUGGGGGAUAACGUCCGGAAACGGGCGCUAAUACCGCAUACUCUCAGAUGAGCCUAGGUCGGGUUAGCUAGUUGGUGGGGUAAAGGCCUACGAGGGCGACGAUCCGUAUCCGGUCUGAGAGGAUGAUCAGUCACACUGGAACUGAGACACGGUCCAGACUCCUACGGGAGGCAGCAGUGGGGAAUAUUGGACAAUGGGCGAAGGCCUAAUCCAGCCAUGCCGCGUGUGUGAAGAAGGUCUUCGGAUUGUAAAGCACUUUAAGUUGGGAGGCGUUACCAACAGAAGAAGCACCGGCUAACUUCGUGCCAGCAGCCGCGGUAAUAC
rnacentral:rRNA from 1 species